UACGGGGGGGGCAAGCGUUGUUCGGAAUUACUGGGCGUAAAGGGCGUGUAGGCGGUCAGGUAAGUGAGAUGUGAAAUGCCCCGGCUCACCCGGGGACCGGCAUCUCAUACUGCUUGGCUUGAGUACGGGAGAGGAUGUGGGAAUUCCUGGUGUAGCGGUGAAAUGCGUAGAUAUCAGGAGGAACACCGGUGGCGAAGGCGCACAUCUGGCCCGAUACUGACGCUGAGGCGCGAAAGCUAGGGGAGCAAACGGG
rnacentral:rRNA from 1 species